rnacentral:rRNA from 1 species
UACGAAGGGGGCUAGCGUUGCUCGGAAUCACUGGGCGUAAAGGGUGCGUAGGCGGGUCUUUAAGUCAGGGGUGAAAUCCUGGAGCUCAACUCCAGAACUGCCUUUGAUACUGGCGAGCUUGAGUUCGGGAGAGGUGAGUGGAACUGCGAGUGUAGAGGUGAAAUUCGUAGAUAUUCGCAAGAACACCGGUGGCGAAGGCGGCUCACUGGCUCAUUUCUGACGCUCAGGCGCGACAGCGUGGGGAUCGAAACAGG